rnacentral:rRNA from 1 species
AGCAGCCGCGGUAAUUCCAGCUCCAAUAGCGUAUAUUAAAGUUGUUGCAGUUAAAAAGCUCGUAGUUGAAUUUCGGGGUUAGUAGGUUGGUCGUGCCUCUGGUAUGUACUGGUCUCACUGAUUCCUCCUUCCUUAUGAACCGUAAUGCCAUUAAUUUGGUGUUGCGAGGAAUUUGGACUGUUACUUUGAAAAAAUUAGAGUGUUUAAAGCAAGCUAACGCUUGAAUACAUUAGCGUGGAAUAAUGAAAUAGGACGUUCGAUCUUAUUUUGUUGGUUUCUAGGAUUGACGUAAUGAUUAAUAGGGAUAGUUGGGGGCAUUAGUAUUCAAUUGUCAGAGGUGAAAUUCUUGGAUUUAUUGAAGACUAACUACUGCGAAAGCAUUUGCCAAGGAUGUUUUCAUUAAUCAAGAACGAAAGUUAGGGGAUCGAAGACGAUCAGAUACCGUCGUAG